GAACUGCUGAGGACUCCCAGAAUAGGACGAAAGGGCCGUCCAGUGC
rnacentral:hammerhead_ribozyme from 1 species